rnacentral:rRNA from 1 species
AUCGAACGCUGGCGGCAGGCCUAACACAUGCAAGUCGAGCGGAGCGGCGGACGGGCGCGUAAUGCCUAGGAAUCUGCCUGGUCGUGGUGGAUAACGUCCUGAAACGGGCGCUAAUACCGCAUACUAUCAGAUGAGCCUAGGUCGGAUUCGCUAGUUGGUGGGGUAAAGGCCUACAAAGCCGACGUUCCGUAACUGGUCUGAGAGGAGGAUCAGUCACACUGGAACUGGGAAACGGUCCAGACGCCAACGGGAGGAGGCAGUGGGGAAGAUUGGAAAAUGGGGGAAAGCCUGAGCCAGACAUGCCGCGUGUGUGAUGAAGGUCUUCGGAUGGUAAAGCACUUUAAGUUGGGAGGCGGUACCAACAGAAUAAGCACCGGCUAACUUCGUGCCAGCAGCCGCGGUAAUUC